rnacentral:lncRNA from 1 species
AUUUUAGUACUUAUGUUAGAACCGUGGGAAGGUUGCUAAGGAAGCCCAAGGCUGCAGGGUCUGCACCACACUGGGCAGUCUGCACUCAGGACAGCUGUAAGCAGCACUUUGAGUUAAACUUGGAGAAAAUGUUAUGGAAUAAAUCCCUCCAGUGACCACCAGCCAAUGGAAAACAAAGGAUAAUUUUCAAGGCAGUGGAGGGAAGCUGAGACAUGCAUCUGCUGGAUGUAACACAUGGAUAUGGACACUGCUCCAUCUGGCAGUAUUGCACUCUCCUCUCCUUGUAAAAUCUGGUCAAUGGAGAGUUUCUAAAGAGGUGAGAUGUAAAGGAAAAAUUGUUGCCACAAAGUCAUUUUCCAGCCUGUUCAGAAAAUAUAAAGCAAAACAUAGUGAUUCGUUGCAAGACAAGGAGAGAUGGCAUCUACCUUUCAUCAUCACCUACAGCAAAUCUAAUUCAGUCCAUGAUAUUUCAAAAGAAUUUCUCACUGAAGUAUUUGAAAUACAUUACAUAACUAGGAGUGAGGAAGGGCCAUGAGUACUAACAGUACAAUGAGGUCAACAUCUUUCACUUCCUUUUAAUAAAAUACUAUAUUUUGCUUGUUAUGUGGAGUUU